rnacentral:rRNA from 1 species
UACAUGGGGUGCAAACGUUGCUCGGAAUUAUUGGGCGUAAAGCGCACGUAGGCGGUUCGUUAAGUCGGAUGUGAAAGCCCUCGGCUCAACUGAGGAAGUGCACCCGAAACUGGCGAGCUUGAGUACGAAAGAGGAUCGCGGAAUUCCCGGUGUAGAGGUGAAAUUCGUAGAUAUCGGGAGGAACACCGGUGGCGCAGGCGGCGAUCUGGGUCGAUACUGACGCUGAGGUGCGAAAGCGUGGGGAGCAAACAGG